rnacentral:rRNA from 1 species
GACGAACGCUGGCGGCGUGCUUAACACAUGCAAGUCGAACGGAAAGGCCCUGCUUUUGUGGGGUGCUCGAGUGGCGAACGGGUGAGUAACACGUGAGUAACCUGCCCUUGACUUUGGGAUAACUUCAGGAAACUGGGGCUAAUACCGGAUAGGAGCUCCUGCUGCAUGGUGGGGGUUGGAAAGUUUCGGCGGUUGGGGAUGGACUCGCGGCUUAUCAGCUUGUUGGUGGGGUAGUGGCUUACCAAGGCUUUGACGGGUAGCCGGCCUGAGAGGGUGACCGGCCACAUUGGGACUGAGAUACAGCCCAGACUCCUACGGGAGGCAGCAGUGGGGAAUAUUGCACAAUGGGCGGAAGCCUGAUGCAGCAACGCCGCGUGCGGGAUGACGGCCUUCGGGUUGUAAACCGCUUUCGCCUGCGACGAAGCGUGAGUGACGGUAAUGGGUAAAGAAGCACCGGCUAACUACGUG